GACGAACGCUGGCGGCGUGCUUAACACAUGCAAGUCGAACGGAAAGGCCCUGCUUUUGUGGGGUGCUCGAGUGGCGAACGGGUGAGUAACACGCGAGUAACCUGCCCUUGACUUUGGGAUAACUUCAGGAAACUGGGGCUCAUCCCGGAUAGGAGCUCCUGCUGCAUGGUGGGGGUUGGAAAGUUUCGGCGGUUGGGGAUGGACUCGCGGCUUAUCAGCUUGUUGGUGGGGUAGUUGCUUACCAAGGCUUUGACGGGUAGCCGGCCUGAGAGGGUGACCGGCCACAUUGGGACUGAGAUACGGCCCAGACUCCUACGGGAGGCAGCAGUGGGGAAUAUUGCACAAUGGGCGGAAGCCUGAUGCAGCAACGCCGCGUGCGGGAUGACGGCCUUCGGGUUGUAAACCGCUUUCGCCUGUGACGAAGCGUGAGUGACGGUAAUGGGUAAAGAAGCACCGGCUAACUACGUG
rnacentral:rRNA from 1 species